GACGAACGCUGGCGGCGUGCUUAACACAUGCAAGUCGAACGAAGAGCGAUGGAAGCUUGCUUCUAUCAAUCUUAGUGGCGAACGGGUGAGUAACGCGUAAUCAACCUGCCCUUCAGAGGGGGACAACAGUUGGAAACGACUGCUAAUACCGCAUACGAUCUAAUCUCGGCAUCGAGGGAAGAUGAAAGGUGGCCUCUAUUUAUAAGCUAUCACUGAAGGAGGGGAUUGCGUCUGAUUAGCUAGUUGGAGGGGUAACGGCCCACCAAGGCGAUGAUCAGUAGCCGGUCUGAGAGGAUGAACGGCCACAUUGGGACUGAGACACGGCCCAGACUCCUACGGGAGGCAGCAGUGGGGAAUCUUCCGCAAUGGACGAAAGUCUGACGGAGCAACGCCGCGUGAGUGAUGACGGCCUUCGGGUUGUAAAGCUCUGUUAAUCGGGACGAAAGGCCUUCUUGCGAACAGUUAGAAGGAUUGACGGUACCGGAAGAGAAAGCCACGGCUAACUACGUG
rnacentral:rRNA from 1 species